CAUCCGCUGCUGCUGGUGGUUGCGGUUGUUUUUAGUGCGAGCGUAAUUUGCACCAACCGCGGUCCUUAUGGUGGCAGUUUGUUGAGUUCCUCCGUUCGAACGACUUGCAACAUGGAGGCAGAAAGUGUGAUAUGAUGUGUGAAAAAAAAAAAUGGAGCGAAAAUUUUAUGAUCUGUGAUUUAUGGUGCAUUGGGAGGUUUGUUUAACUUUCGACAUGUUGCACUUGCUGAUUGAUGUGGUCUGGGUGAUUCAUUCCGUUAUACGUUAAAUUUAAUAUUGAAGCUCGUACAGUGAUCGCUUAUAUUUUGUGCAGCUUACUCUCGAACCAUACUUGAAGCUAAGAUGAGCUAAGUGAAUUGCCCGUGUAUAUGGGUGGGUGCGAGUGGCUAUGUAAGCGUCUGUAGCUGUGCAGUGUUAAGUGAAAAGAAGAUAUACAAUCGAAUCUAACCGACAACUCAAUCACAAUGGCAAGCGAAAACUACAAGCUGAUGCUGAUGGAUGCGACGAAUCGGUACAAUCUGUCUGCGUUCAGUACCGACACUGGUUCAUGCAUGUCACACGAGGAAGAGACGGAAAUGGUUGUGAAGGGGUGGUGGGGAGACGGGUGAAGGAGAAAUAUCUUUCGAACAACACGCCAAUCUGCCCUGAAACUUCUGCUAUCCCGCUCAUCCGGCUGUUGUGCAUCGUCAGUUUAUCCAGAACAUUCGUUGUGAAUACAUGUGCUGAGGUUAUGUGUGGUUUCUUCCGUAUUUUCCUCGUCCAUGCUUGAAGCCGCGGGCCAUCUAAUUCAAUUGUGGAAUGGUUCAUCCUAACAAAUUUUACGGUUGUUCUCGUGAGUGAUUUAAUGGAUACAUUCAUCAAAAGCUUGUCGUCUACGGCUCAUCGACGGCUACCUGAUGGCCUCAUCAACAAAGUGCACAAUCACCAGUAGAAGGAAAACGUUGUCCGAUUUUACAAUAUUCAGCUUUCAACGCAGCUAAAUCUUAGAAGAACGCACUUCAAGGACGCCACGGACGCGUCUAAUGAUGCGCGCCUAAUGAUGCGCGUCUAAUGAUGCGCGUCUAAUGAUGCGCGUCUAAUGAUGCGCAGUCGAUGACGUCAUCGGAACCAGACCAGACAUGUGCCGGCUGAAAACACGCAGCACUAGUCGACGAUAUUCUUAGGCGGUGGUUGAAAAGAAAAGCGGAAGGAAGGGUUACGAAAAAUUACCCCUUCAUUUGGAAAACAUCCUGCUGUGUACUGCGUGUGACUGGGUCUGGGUCAUACAAUUCAUUUCACGACUCGGCCCGGUGUAGGGUUAAAACCUUUCGGAAGCAAUUCCAAUCCGUGGAUGCAACGGGUGUACUAGAUCAAUGUCGGAAUCAAAUCCAACCCAUGAGUGUGAUGAGUUCGGUUCGACCUGCCCAUCAAUAGUUCAGAGUCAGCAACUCGCUUGCCUCGCUUCUCUGGUCCGUCCGACCACACAAGCCGCCCGCUUGGAUUCUACGGUGGGUUUCGCGGAAUUCUGGCCGGUGUCGAUGAGAUCGAACAACAAUUGCGGGUGCCGCCGUUCCAGACAAUUGUCCCCAAAACAGAUGCCACUCGGACAGCCUUCUGUUUGCUUCUCACACCGCACCUCUCGCUCCUUCCUCAGCCCGCCCUUCUCGUCCGUUCCUCAGACCGCGCAUCUCGCUCGUUCAAUCGAAAUGGAACCCCAUGCCAACUGGAAAUGUUCGGAGCUCAUGUCCAAGCUAUUGUUUGUUCGAAAGAGAAUGCGAGAAACCAUUUCAAAGAAA